UCUCCUGGAAACGGGUGGUAAUGCCGGAUGCUCCAGUUGAUCGCAUGGUCUUCUGGGAAAGCUUUCGCGGUAUGGGAUGGGGUCGCGUCCUAUCAGCUUGACGGCGGGGUAACGGCCCACCGUGGCUUCGACGGGUAGCCGGCCUGAGAGGGCGACCGGCCACAUUGGGACUGAGAUACGGCCCAGACUCCUACGGGAGGCAGCAGUGGGGAAUAUUGCACAAUGGGCGCAAGCCUGAUGCAGCGACGCCGCGUGAGGGAUGGAGGCCUUCGGGUUGUAAACCUCUUUUAUCGGGGAGCAAGCGAGAGUGAGUUUACCCGUUGAAUAAGCACCGGCUAACUACGUGCCAGCAGCCGCGGUAAUACGUAGGGUGCAAGCGUUAUCCGGAAUUAUUGGGCGUAAAGGGCUCGUAGGCGGUUCGUCGCGUCCGGUGUGAAAGUCCAUCGCUUAACGGUGGAUCCGCGCCGGGUACGGGCGGGCUUGAGUGCGGUAGGGGAGACUGGAAUUCCCGGUGUAACGGUGGAAUGUGUAGAUAUCGGAAAGAACACC
rnacentral:rRNA from 1 species